rnacentral:rRNA from 1 species
GAUGAACGCUGGCGGCGUGCCUAAUACAUGCAAGUCGAGCGAACAGACGAGGAGCUUGCUCCUCUGACGUUAGCGGCGGACGGGUGAGUAACACGUGGAUAACCUACCUAUAAGACUGGGAUAACUUCGGGAAACCGGAGCUAAUACCGGAUAAUAUAUUGAACCGCAUGGUUCAAUAGUGAAAGACGGUUUUGCUGUCACUUAUAGAUGGAUCCGCGCCGCAUUAGCUAGUUGGUAAGGUAACGGCUUACCAAGGCAACGAUGCGUAGCCGACCUGAGAGGGUGAUCGGCCACCCUGGAACUGGAACACCGACCAGACUCCUACGGGAGGCAGCAGUAGGGAAUCUUCCGCAAUGGGCGAAAGCCUGACGGAGCAACGCCGCGUGAGUGGUGAAGGUCUUCGGAUCGUAAAACUCUGUUAUUAGGGAAAAACAAAUGUGUAAGUAACUAUGCACGUCUUGACGGUACCUAAUCAGAAAGCCACGGCUAACUACGUG